CGGUAAUACGGAGGAUCCAAGCGUUAUCCGGAUUUAUUGGGUUUAAAGGGUGCGUAGGCGGAUUUUUAAGUCAGUGGUGAAAGUUUGUAGCUCAACUAUAAAAUUGCCAUUGAAACUGAAGAUCUUGAGUGUAAAUGAGGUAGGCGGAAUGUGUUGUGUAGCGGUGAAAUGCUUAGAUAUAACACAGAACACCAAUUGCGAAGGCAGCUUACUGGGAUACAACUGACGCUGAGGCACGAAAGCGUGGGGAUCAAACAGGAUUAGAUACCCUGGUAGUCCACGCAGUAAACGAUGAAUACUAGCUGUAUGCGAUAUACUGUAUGUGGCAAAGCGAAAGCGUUAAGUAUUCCACCUGGGGAGUACGUUCGCAAGAAUGAA
rnacentral:rRNA from 1 species